UCAUCAAAUUGUCUGCAAAUGAUUUACGAUUGCAAUAUGAUUGUAGAGCAAACCAGGUUUAAAAAACACGGAAUUGAUUCUGAUCAUGAUCAGGUUAAAAUUUUUACCUAAAAUGCAAGUGUAAUAAAACUUGAAAGGGCGUAAUAAUUAAGCCAAAAGUUCUGAUGAUGAGAACAGUUUUAGUACGGAACCGUCAUUCCACAAGUGGGACUCCCCCUUAGCAGUCUUUAAAUAAAUACUUGUGAACCUUAUUCUGAUAUCUUCGAGAAAAUUAGUAGGUAUAAAUAAGGUAACAGGUUGCCUUUUGUAACUCAUCACAAUGUUUAAGUCAGCUUUCGUGAUUUUGAGCUGCGUCGUGGGAACUGUUAUAACAGUCAAUAGAAUGUUCAGGGCGCAAUGAACAUUACGAGUGUGGUAGUGCUUGCCAAACUACAUGCGCCACGCUGGGCCAGGAAUGCCCUAUUG
rnacentral:misc_RNA from 1 species